UGGGGAAUAUUGGACAAUGGGCGAAAGCCUGAUCCAGCCAUGCCGCGUGUGUGAAGAAGGUCUUCGGAUUGUAAAGCACUUUAAGUUGGGAGGAAGGGCAGUAAGCGAAUACCUUGCUGUUUUGACGUUACCGACAGAAUAAGCACCGGCUAACUCUGUGCCAGCAGCCGCGGCAAUACAGAGGGUGCAAGCGUUAAUCGGAAUUACUGGGCGUAAAGCGCGCGUAGGUGGUUCGUUAAGUUGAAUGUGAAAGCCCCGGGCUCAACCUGGGAACUGGAUCCAAAACUGGCGAGCUAGGGUAGGGCAGAGGGUGGUGGGAUUUCCUGUGUAGCGGUGAAAUGCGUAGAUAUAGGAAGGGACACCAGUGGCGAAGGCGACCACCUGGGCUCAUACUGGCACUGAGGUGCGAAAACGUGGGGGGCAAACAGG
rnacentral:rRNA from 1 species